GACGAACGCUGGCGGCGUGCCUAAUACAUGCAAGUCGAACGCAUUUUCUUUCACCGUGUCUUGCUACACCGAAAGAAACUGAGUGGCGAACGGUGGAUUAACACGUGUGUAACCUGCCCAUCAGCGAGGGAUAACAGGCGAAAACAGGUUCUAAUACCGCAUAAUUCGAUUUACCUCAGGGAGGUUGGAUGAAAGGCGCUUUUGCGUCGCCUUAUCAGCUACUCGCGGUGCUUUAGCUAGGCGGUGGGGUUGCGGCCUACCAAGGCUGGGAUGCAUAGCCGACCGGAGAGGGUGAUUGGCCACCCUGGGAGUGAGACACGGCCCAGAGUCCUACGGGAGGCAGCAGUAGGGCAACGUCGGCAAUGGAUGCAAGUCUGACCGAGAAACGCGGAGUGAGGGAAGAAGGUUUUCGGGUCGGAAAACUCGGUUGUUGGGGAAGAACACGGAUGAGAGUGGAACGUUCAUCCCUUGACGGUAUCGAACCAGAAAGCCACGGCUAACUACGUG
rnacentral:rRNA from 1 species